rnacentral:tRNA from 1 species
UUCUUAUUAGCUUAAUGGUAGAGCACGAUACUUCUAAUAUCAAGAUUUAAGUUCGAAUCUUAACUAAGAAU